rnacentral:lncRNA from 1 species
GAUUUGUAAGAUCUCGACAUUUGUUUUGCGUAAGAAACCCAUAUAAUGUCAAAAAUUUGAUCACAAUCCAAAUUCAGAGCUGUAUCUAGCUUGAAUGUUUUGCCCAUACUUGCUCCAACUGUUCAGGGUUCGACCUCUGCGGUCGUAUAAAGCUGCACCCUGCGGAGCACCUGGUUUAAUUUUGUAUCUACCUUGGCCGCUUUUUUUAUGAAACAAAGCAGGACCUAUUCUUUCAAUUUGUCUUGUAGUUUAAAAUGAUGAAUAGGUAUAACAGUCGUUUGUUUAAUACUAUAAGAGACUUGAAUAGAUUGUAUGUACUCAAGACUCAAUGCUCUUCAACUUUGUACUUGUUUGUACACAUUUUUAAGUAUCGAAAACUGAUUCAUGACGCC